AAGGGAGACCUAAUUCGGGUAGGAGACGAAAAAAAAGUAGUCCCUACCAAGAAUCAAUCCCAAAAGGUCGGAACGAGGUAUGAGGCUUUCAAACUAGGUUCUGGGUUCAUAAAAGACCUGAAUCAGGAACAAGGGCUAUUAGCUCAGGUGGUUAGAGCGCACCCCUGAUAAGGGUGAGGUCCCUGGUUCGAGUCCAGGAUGGCCCACCUGCACAGGUGGCAAAAACAAGAGAAGCUCCGAAUCAGCACCUUAUCUUAUAUACAUAUAUAAGAGAGAAUGCUGGCUCUGAGUACAGAGUCCAGAGGAACCUUGAAAACUGCAUAGAGCUAGGUGGAAAAGCCAAAAAAGAAGACCGCAA
rnacentral:tRNA from 1 species